rnacentral:tRNA from 1 species
GCUUCAAAGGAUAACAGCUCAUCCGUUGGUCUCAGGAACCAAAAACUCUUGGUGCAAAUCCAAGUGAAAGCU